rnacentral:rRNA from 1 species
GACGAACGCUGGCGGCGUGCUUAACACAUGCAAGUCGAACGGAAAGGCCCUGCUUUUGUGGGGUGCUCGAGUGGCGAACGGGUGAGUAACACGUGAGUAACCUGCCCUUGACUUUGGGAUAACUUCAGGAAACUGGGGCUAAUACCGGAUAGGAGCUCCUGCUGCAUGGUGGGGGUUGGAAAGUUUCGGCGGUUGGGGAUGGACUCGCGGCUUAUCAGCUUGUUGGUGGGGUAGUGGCUUACCAAGGCUUUGACGGGUAGCCGGCCUGAGAGGGUGACCGGCAACAUGGGAACUGGGAUACGGCCCAGACUCCUACGGGAGGAAGCAGGGGGGAAUAUUGAACAAUGGGCGGAAGCCUGAUGCAGCAAGGCCGGGGGCGGGAUGACGGCCUUCGGGUUGUAAACCGCUUUCGCCUGUGACGAAGCGUGAGUGACGGUAAUGGGUAAAGAAGCACCGGCUAACUACGU